GUUGCACGCACAAGCUGGAGACUCCAACCUCACGGAGCUGCCCCUCCAGUGGAAAGAGGCAGGAGCCACACCACCCACAGGACGGGGAUGGAAUGUACAGCACCUGACAUGAAGACUGGGCUGUCACAUUUACACAUCAGUCUCAGGCAUAUUUUUAUCAGCAGCAUGAAAACGGAAUAGUACCUCUAGUGAGUGGGUGCUUCCCAUGGAAUGACCAAGUGGAGAUGGACCAACAGGUCCAGAUGCUCUCGUGAUUGGAUGCUCCCUGCCAGCUGACCUAUGGAAAGGAUAAAAAGCAGAAACCAAAGAGGACAGUUUAGCCUCCUUUACUGAACAACUGUUGCACCAAAGUGUUCCAGGUAGUGAACCAAUAGAAAGCCCAGAAAAUGGAAAAUCACCCAUUUGGAGUAAAUGUGCACAUUAUUUGAUUGCAGCACUGAAAACCUGUUUUACUCAAGCCGCAAAUGAACCUCUGCACUUCCGUCUUGCCCUGGGUCCCUUGGAAUAAGCUUGAUUUAAUUAUCAAAUUACAUGGAAAGAAAUAAGGCAUCUAAAAA
ensembl:lncRNA novel transcript